GAGAAAGAGAGAAACAGAGAGAUUGCGAGUGGAAUUACUUGUGUAUAAAGUGGCUCUCGUCAGGAAUAACAUUGCUUCAAAUUGCCAAGAUGUGGAGUUGGUGAGUGUAAUUGGCGUUUCCAUGGGAACGCUGAUCACUCCCGGGGAGGUGUUGAUUACGUGGUGUUUGCCCAUCAGAUCACUAUUGCCUGGUGAUCGUGCUCGAGGAGGAUUCCUUGGUUUCUGCCAAGGCAGGGACGGUGUUGUCUGGACCUUCCCAGGGGAACCGGUCGGUAGUGGAUUUCACGAUU